rnacentral:tRNA from 1 species
UCCCUGGUUGCUCGCUGAUAAAGAAUCUGCCUGCAAUGCAGGAAACCCCAGUUCGAUUCUGGGUCAGGAAG